GACGAACCGAGCGAACGUUGUUCGGAAUCACUGGGCUUAAAGGGCGCGUAGGCGGGCUGUCAAGUUUGGGGUGAAAUCCCGCGGCUCAACCGUGGAACUGCCUCAAAUACUGACGGUCUCGAGGGAGGUAGGGGCGAGCGGAACUGAUGGUGGAGCGGUGAAAUGCGUUGAUAUCAUCAGGAACUCCGGUGGCGAAGGCGGCUCGCUGGACCUCUUCUGACGCUGAGGCGCGAAAGCCAGGGGAGCAAACAGG
rnacentral:rRNA from 1 species